CACACAGAACAUAUACUUACUCUGUCUCCUUUAGGGCCUGCGGGGCCAUGGGGACCAACUGAGCCAUCUAUACCCUGCAAAAGGAAACAAAGAGGAGAAAGAGACUCAGAGAUGCAGGGUGCCUAUCGUGUCCUGUGACAACACAGGGGAGCCUCUGAUUCCUCAGAACCAAAAUCUUCUGUCACCAGUGAGAAGGACCUGCCUCCUACUCUCAUGAAAGGGAGCUGAAUGCACAGCAUUUACUGUUUGAUGUACUAUGGAUUCAAAGAGCAAAUUCCCCAGCUUCAGAUGGCCUCAUGCAGCACAGAGUCAUUAUAACUCCUGCAGAACCUUUACUUGCAGAAGCAGCCUCAGCCACACAGCAGCCAGGGGCAUUUCUUCCCCUGGAAGGAAGAACAGAGCAGCAUUACCUGGUCUAUGUCCUUCCAAACAUACCACAUGCCUCUGACAGUUUGAUUCCCCUUACAGGAAUAUAUGAAAGGGAUUCUAGUCAAUCCUUAUUUUGUUCCCUAACAGGUACAUGUGAAAAAAGAUUCUAGUCAAUACUUAUUUUCUUCCUAAUGAGAUGUAAUAAUGUACCAUAGUCUGAAGGUUAACAGUCAGUCAAACAUGCAGGGUUAGCUUGUGAUCACUGAAGGAACAGAGCCAUUCUUUGUUAGUCUCACCAGCUGCAACUGCAUAGGCUUUCAAUACAAGAAGUGUGCUGUGGCUAGAAGGGAAGGUGGGUUAGUCGAAUAUCACUUUUCAUGUUAAUUAGUAUCAUCAUUCCUGUGCUUUUUUAAAAUACAAAAUGAACAUACACCAAAUAUGUACAGGCCUUGGCCAGCUAAACUGUACAGCCUUGGGCUAAUCUGAGUACAGGGGCCAGGGGUAACAUUGAUGUAACAUCAUUUAUCACAAAUCCAACAGAAAAGGAAAACUGAACAAUUCCAAGUAAUACCUUUUGUCCAGGCCGUCCGGAUUCACCAGGUUCACCCUAAAGGAAACAGAUGAAAGAUGAGAUCUGAAUAAAUGAAUUAAAGAUAAAGAUGUAGAAAACCAUAACAUUAAUGAUAUCCACAGUGUCUGUGACACUGCAAAGUAACAUGGACCAACCACCCCUCUUCUACCUUCACAACUGCUUUAAAAGCACAUACCUUGAUUCCUGCAGCAGAAGAACCAGGGUCACCCUGAUACAAAAUCCACAAGAAAUAAUCACACUUAUUACAUAUACAGUUUUCCAGGAAACACUUAUAACAAAUCAUGUAAGACUAUGGUAACAUUAUAUGGCAAAAUAACUAUACAGCAAGAUUACCUGUUCUUCAUGCGGCUACACAGGAAUUUAACUAAUGAAUUCAAUCAGCGUGACUCAGAAAAGGAACAGUAUUGUUGUCAAGAUCAUGCAGAGAGAUUUAGUUUCACUCACCCAAACAGUGUAACAGUUAACCUCAAAUUUUACAACUAAUAAUGUAGACAUAGUAAUUGCAGAUUUUGUAUAAAUGCACUUCACAAAGCCAGAAGAAGGGACAUACUUUGACAUCUCUAAAUUGCUGAUCUACAUUAAAAUAAUUUACUGCUAUUUGAAAAGAAUAUGAGAAAUGAUUUUGACCUAAUUCUACAGAGGGCAAGUGUCAGGUCUCAACUGACAAAAUUUUUUGUGCUAAUGAAGACUCACCUUCAAAAAAAGCCCCAGUGACUUAUGAGUUUAUCUCCAUCAGGGCUGGUCAUAGCUCUAUUUCCUCAGCACUUUAGCUGAAGAAAUAUAUUUUAACUGAUAGAUCAAUGCAGUGAUGUGUUAUACCUUACAGGAUGAGCUAGCUACGGUAAUUUACAUAUUCAAGAAAGGUCUCUGUUCUGAGGAGGCAUUUAGAAUUCAAAAAGAUUUGCCUGUGUUUCACUGAGUUGACUGGAUUUGAUAGGCAGUGAUAAGUAUAAGGACAGAGGAUCAGUGAGUGACUGGGCCAAGGAAGCCUUUAGCUUCCAGUUUUCUACAAUUGUCACAGGAUACUUAAAAUUCUUGUACACUCAAUUAGUUGUUUUCUUUUCCUUAAACAACACGCUGAAGAAAAAAGAAAAAAAAUACUGAAAGGUUUUCUAGUCAAACUAUAUACUACUGAAGAUGGCUAGAGUACUAUAUAUUUGAAAAUAAAUUUGAAAAAUUGUUUCCUUAUUCAAAAUAAAUGUACAUCAUUUGCUGGAAGUAACAAGUUGCUACACAGCAGAAAUAUCAAGCUCCCCCACAGCCUGCUAGUGAUUUACAUAGGUAGAAUAGAAGUCAGUACUGUAAUGCACUUUGAAGAUGCAUAAGCAAAAUAUAAAUGCUUAAUAUUCUUUGUGCUAAAAUACAAAUAGGGAUACCCAUUCCUGAUGUUUCAGUGAAGCUGCAGGAAGCAUUCUGUAAAUGCCGCUGCUUUAAAGUUGGUUUGGGUAUGGAGUCUCUUUGGUAUUAUCUUACAAAAUUAAACAGUACCAGUUUAUGUGCUCAUUGUCCUUUAAAGAACAGGAGUAACAGCUACUGCAGCUUGCUCUUGUGUGAAGAAAACACAAAAAUCAGUAUUAUGAAGGGCUGAUACAUGCAUGGAAACCUGAGCUGCCUCAUUUUGAUAGACACGCAUGAGUGAUACUGCUAAUAUCCCUUACAAGCAUGUACAACUGGAAGCCUCAAGGACUUUUUAUAGCUAUGAAGUGACAAAGCAACUGGUAAGACACAUUAGCCAGUUAAACAUUUUAAAGGGUAAUGAUGGAUACAGAGAAGAUAAGACACAAAAUGGUUACAAGCCAUCUUCAUGCAAGAAUAAAAAUUAGUAUCAGAUUAAAGAAAAAAUUGCAGUACAGCAUGUUCUCAAUUCACUGAUAAGUCAAACAGUCCAUGAAUGAAGAAAAUUUAGCAGGUGAACACGUGAAAGGAAGGAAUAUAUUUGGUAGUUUCUAGGGACCAAGGCUACAGUGGAAGAAUACCGAAAUCAAGUUUGGCAUUAAGACUGUCUUCAAAGUAGGACAAUUCAACAAAGACACUUUAAUUCUAAAGUCUCAGGUCAAGAAUAAAGCACUCAAGUCCACAUUUCUGCGAGUCACUAGGUACAGUGGUUGAGAAAACAAAACUACAUUAAUUGCACAAACAGGAACCUGCUCCUAAAGCAAGUCUGAAACUGUUGUCACCUGGUAUCUCUCUCUCUCACCAUAUAAAUAAAAUUUAGUGUUUAUCUCACAGAAACAUUAUUUAAGCCUUUAAAGAAAUGCUUUUAAUUUUUGUGAACUAUGGAUUAAAUCUCUUAAGCAUAUGUGUAGCAUUAUGAUCUACUGUAAUGUUCUGUGCAUUUAUUUAUCUAAAAUUAAUGCUGUUUACUGAGCAAGAAGGGUCUGUACAUGUAUGUGGCUGAACACCUGAGAACUGAGUGGAUACCAGACUUAUCUCAUCUCUGAAUACAUCCAGUAGCUCUCUUACAAACUCACUUUAAAAAGAGUCUUAUUAAGUCUUAUAAUACAGACAAAAAUACAAAUAAAAAAGAAA